UUGAAAGGGAAACGAUUGAAGUCAGUCGUACCGACGAGAAAUCAACUUAUCGUGUGCGAACUUGUGGGCGUGCGUGAGUUUCGGCCUCGCUGUUUGCAUGUUUGUGCGUUUUGGGUGUACUUUUUCGUAUGAUAGGCCAACAUCAGUUUCGAUUACUAUAAAAUGACCGGCGGAAUGUAGCUUCGAUUUCGGUUGAAGUGUUAUAGCCUCUGGUAGAUGUGGUGAUUGGGACUGAGGAUUGCAACGAAUAUCCUUUGGGCUAUCCGUCUGAUCUCUGAAAGUUGCUCAGGUGCCGAAAGCGUGCUUACGGUCAUCUAAGUUGACGGUCAAAAGGUUAGAACGUGAUUACAUUCGUUAAGGAUGUUGACGUA
rnacentral:rRNA from 1 species